AAAUGUUUUGCUUUCAUUGACUAAUAAAUGUUUAUUUGUUUAGAAGACUAUGAGAAUUUGUCCAAGUUCCUUUCUAAACAUACCUUGGUAUGCUACCACGAUAUACCAACUCCAAAAUUAAAUUUUAGUAGGAGUCGUGCUGAAGGUUUGACAUGGAAUGACGCCAAAUUUUGCAGAAAACUUGUGAAAGAAAAGUGUUAUUCAUUCCAUAGGCAACUCAAACAGCAAAUGAUAAAUUCUGCAAGAGAGUUUUUUCCAUUGACUUUCUCUUACGAAUUCCCUACUCCCACGUUCAGAGAUUGUUAUUUUGCAUAUCUACCUGGGAAAGAAGACGAUUUGUUUGUUGGAUGAUUUUAAUCUAUAUUCUGUUUUUCACUUUUUUAGAAUUUGAUUAAAGCAGAUCCCAGAGCUGUAAUUUGUA